UGGGAAUGAAACUUUUGGUCAGCACUUCGCUACAGUUGCUUUGCCAGAUUGUGGGCGGCUCAGUCGUGGGCUGUUUGCUUCUAGGCUUCGAUCCUGCUCUCGCCUUGAGUCCUCGACGAGAGGCCGCCGAGGAAACAGCCUGGUUCCUGACAAUCCCCUGACGGUCGAGUCGGGUGUGGAGCCCACCAGUGCGUCCCCAGAGCUACCAUCUGGGAAAUGGAGGAGUGGGCAAGUGUCUGUGCCAGGCCAGGGUGGGGACCCGGAACUAGCUCCUCGAGAAAGCCCUUCUUGGAUUUCUUGGGCAGGAUGUGUUCAGGAAAGGCCGUUUAACCCUCCAUGAACCCAGGCCAAAGCAAUGGAGCCUGCUGAUUAUGGACUGAAACCUCGGAAACCAUGAGCCCAAAUAAAGUUUCCUCCUCGAAGUGUUUAUGUCAGGCCUUUUGUCACAGUGAUGAAACUACCAUCAUUCACCUUCAUUCCUUGUUACCUGGAAGUCAGAUCUAAAGGCUAGAUGAGAUUCAUGACUCAUUUAAGCCCUUCUGUGAAGGUUAGUCUUCCUUAUCAAUUUGAUAGAAUCAACUUGGAAUCAUCCAGGAGACACACCUUUGGGCAUGUCCUUAAGGGUGUUUCUAGAGAACUGUGUAUCAGAGGAUGGAAGACCCCUCUGGAUGUGGGCAGCACCAUCUCAUGAGCUGAGGUCAAGGACUGAAUCACAAGAGACGAGACAACGUGAGCACUUAGAAUUCACCUCUCCCCAUUUCCACUCUGAGGCUGUCCAUCUCAUGCUCCUGUCACUGUGCAUUCCCCACCAUAAAAACUUCAUGUCCUCCAACUGUGAGCCAAAUAAAACCUCCUUGAAGUUGC